GGGUUGUGAGGUUAAGCGACUAAGCGUACACGGUGGAUGCCCUGGCAGUCAGAGGCGAUGAAGGACGUGCUAAUCUGCGAUAAGCGUCGGUAAGGUGAUAUGAACCGUUAUAACCGGCGAUUUCCGAAUGGGGAAACCCAGUGUGUUUCGACACACUAUCAUUAACUGAAUCCAUAGGUUAAUGAGGCGAACCGGGGGAACUGAAACAUCUAAGUACCCCGAGGAAAAGAAAUCAANNNNNNNNNNNNNNNNNNNNNNNNNNNNNNNNNNNNNNNNNNNNNNNNNNUGUGUGUUAGUGGAAGCGUCUGGAAAGGCGCGCGAUACAGGGUGACAGCCCCGUACACAAAAAUGCACAUGCUGUGAGCUCGAUGAGUAGGGCGGGACACGUGGUAUCCUGUCUGAAUAUGGGGGGACCAUCCUCCAAGGCUAAAUACUCCUGACUGACCGAUAGUGAACCAGUACCGUGAGGGAAAGGCGAAAAGAACCCCGGCGAGGGGAGUGAAAAAGAACCUGAAACCGUGUACGUACAAGCAGUGGGAGCACGCUUAGGCGUGUGACUGCGUACCUUUUGUAUAAUGGGUCAGCGACUUAUAUUCUGUAGCAAGGUUAACCGAAUAGGGGAGCCGAAGGGAAACCGAGUCUUAACUGGGCGUUAAGUUGCAGGGUAUAGACCCGAAACCCGGUGAUCUAGCCAUGGGCAGGUUGAAGGUUGGGUAACACUAACUGGAGGACCGAACCGACUAAUGUUGAAAAAUUAGCGGAUGACUUGUGGCUGGGGGUGAAAGGCCAAUCAAACCGGGAGAUAGCUGGUUCUCCCCGAAAGCUAUUUAGGUAGCGCCUCGUGAAUUCAUCUCCGGGGGUAGAGCACUGUUUCGGCAAGGGGGUCAUCCCGACUUACCAACCCGAUGCAAACUGCGAAUACCGGAGAAUGUUAUCACGGGAGACACACGGCGGGUGCUAACGUCCGUCGUGAAGAGGGAAACAACCCAGACCGCCAGCUAAGGUCCCAAAGUCAUGGUUAAGUGGGAAACGAUGUGGGAAGGCCCAGACAGCCAGGAUGUUGGCUUAGAAGCAGCCAUCAUUUAAAGAAAGCGUAAUAGCUCACUGGUCGAGUCGGCCUGCGCGGAAGAUGUAACGGGGCUAAACCAUGCACCGAAGCUGCGGCAGCGACGCUUAUGCGUUGUUGGGUAGGGGAGCGUUCUGUAAGCCUGUGAAGGUGUACUGUGAGGUAUGCUGGAGGUAUCAGAAGUGCGAAUGCUGACAUAAGUAACGAUAAAGCGGGUGAAAAGCCCGCUCGCCGGAAGACCAAGGGUUCCUGUCCAACGUUAAUCGGGGCAGGGUGAGUCGACCCCUAAGGCGAGGCCGAAAGGCGUAGUCGAUGGGAAACAGGUUAAUAUUCCUGUACUUGGUGUUACUGCGAAGGGGGGACGGAGAAGGCUAUGUUGGCCGGGCGACGGUUGUCCCGGUUUAAGCGUGUAGGCUGGUUUUCCAGGCAAAUCCGGAAAAUCAAGGCUGAGGCGUGAUGACGAGGCACUACGGUGCUGAAGCAACAAAUGCCCUGCUUCCAGGAAAAGCCUCUAAGCAUCAGGUAACAUCAAAUCGUACCCCAAACCGACACAGGUGGUCAGGUAGAGAAUACCAAGGCGCUUGAGAGAACUCGGGUGAAGGAACUAGGCAAAAUGGUGCCGUAACUUCGGGAGAAGGCACGCUGAUAUGUAGGUGAAGCGACUUGCUCGUGGAGCUGAAAUCAGUCGAAGAUACCAGCUGGCUGCAACUGUUUAUUAAAAACACAGCACUGUGCAAACACGAAAGUGGACGUAUACGGUGUGACGCCUGCCCGGUGCCGGAAGGUUAAUUGAUGGGGUUAGCGCAAGCGAAGCUCUUGAUCGAAGCCCCGGUAAACGGCGGCCGUAACUAUAACGGUCCUAAGGUAGCGAAAUUCCUUGUCGGGUAAGUUCCGACCUGCACGAAUGGCGUAAUGAUGGCCAGGCUGUCUCCACCCGAGACUCAGUGAAAUUGAACUCGCUGUGAAGAUGCAGUGUACCCGCGGCAAGACGGAAAGACCCCGUGAACCUUUACUAUAGCUUGACACUGAACAUUGAGCCUUGAUGUGUAGGAUAGGUGGGAGGCUUUGAAGUGUGGACGCCAGUCUGCAUGGAGCCGACCUUGAAAUACCACCCUUUAAUGUUUGAUGUUCUAACGUUGACCCGUAAUCCGGGUUGCGGACAGUGUCUGGUGGGUAGUUUGACUGGGGCGGUCUCCUCCUAAAGAGUAACGGAGGAGCACGAAGGUUGGCUAAUCCUGGUCGGACAUCAGGAGGUUAGUGCAAUGGCAUAAGCCAGCUUGACUGCGAGCGUGACGGCGCGAGCAGGUGCGAAAGCAGGUCAUAGUGAUCCGGUGGUUCUGAAUGGAAGGGCCAUCGCUCAACGGAUAAAAGGUACUCCGGGGAUAACAGGCUGAUACCGCCCAAGAGUUCAUAUCGACGGCGGUGUUUGGCACCUCGAUGUCGGCUCAUCACAUCCUGGGGCUGAAGUAGGUCCCAAGGGUAUGGCUGUUCGCCAUUUAAAGUGGUACGCGAGCUGGGUUUAGAACGUCGUGAGACAGUUCGGUCCCUAUCUGCCGUGGGCGCUGGAGAACUGAGGGGGGCUGCUCCUAGUACGAGAGGACCGGAGUGGACGCAUCACUGGUGUUCGGGUUGUCAUGCCAAUGGCACUGCCCGGUAGCUAAAUGCGGAAGAGAUAAGUGCUGAAAGCAUCUAAGCACGAAACUUGCCCCGAGAUGAGUUCUCCCUGACUCCUUGAGAGUCCUGAAGGAACGUUGAAGACGACGACGUUGAUAGGCCGGGUGUGUAAGCGCAGCGAUGCGUUGAGCUAACCGGUACUAAUGAACCGUGAGGCUUAACCUUACAACGCCGAAG
rnacentral:rRNA from 1 species